UGGGGAAUCUUGGACAAUGGGCGCAAGCCUGAUCCAGCCAUGCCGCGUGAGUGACGAAGGCCUUAGGGUUGUAAAGCUCUUUUGGCGGGGACGAUAAUGACGGUACCCGCAGAAUAAGCCCCGGCUAACUUCGUGCCAGCAGCCGCGGUAAUACGAAGGGGGCUAGCGUUGUUCGGAAUUACUGGGCGUAAAGCGCACGUAGGCGGAUUUGUCAGUCAGGGGUGAAAUCCCGAGGCUCAACCUCGGAACUGCCUCCGAUACAGCAAGUCUCGAGUCCGGAAGAGGUGAGUGGAAUUCCUAGUGUAGAGGUGAAAUUCGUAGAUAUUAGGAAGAACACCAGUGGCGAAGGCGGCUCACUGGUCCGGUACUGACGCUGAGGCACGAAAGCGUGGGUAGCGAACAGGAUUAGAUACCCCCGUAGUCCCUGAGCGGGCUGGCAAGGCGCAU
rnacentral:rRNA from 1 species